rnacentral:rRNA from 1 species
AUUGAACGCUGGCGGCAUGCCUUACACAUGCAAGUCGAACGGUAACGCGGGGCAACCUGGCGACGAGUGGCGAACGGGUGAGUAAUAUAUCGGAACGUGCCCAGUAGUGGGGGAUAGCCCGGCGAAAGCCGGAUUAAUACCGCAUACGACCUGAGGGUGAAAGCGGGGGAUCGCAAGACCUCGCGCUAUUGGAGCGGCCGAUAUCAGAUUAGCUAGUUGGUGGGGUAAAAGCCUACCAAGGCGACGAUCUGUAGCUGGUCUGAGAGGACGACCAGCCACACUGGGACUGAGACACGGCCCAGACUCCUACGGGAGGCAGCAGUGGGGAAUUUUGGACAAUGGGCGCAAGCCUGAUCCAGCCAUGCCGCGUGCGGGAAGAAGGCCUUCGGGUUGUAAACCGCUUUUGUCAGGGAAGAAACGCGCUGAGCUAAUACCUCGGCGUAAUGACGGUACCUGAAGAAUAAGCACCGGCUAACUACGUGCCAGCAGCCGCCGUAAUAC